GUUUUUCCAGAGGUGGUGUCUGCAGGAUUUGGUGACUGAGUGGCUGUGAAGGAUGAAGGAGGAGGAGUCACAGACAACCCUGAGGUCUCUCCAUUCCUGACUUGUUGGAUGGUGGUGCGAACAAGGACACAGGAGCAAAAGCAACUUUGAAACUCGAGUAAAGGCUGUGGCUUAGGCUUUCCGCUUAUUCCUGCUUCUGCCUCCUGAUCAAGACCUGACGCCUCCCCUGUGGCCCUAAGUGGCGUGCUGUGUCCCCUUCUCUCAGGAAGAUCUGCAAGAAACAUAUGUACCAGCUGAAUGCCGCUGAAGAAAAUCGUUAUAGGAUUAGCAGUUUUCUGACCCACUUACUAAAAAAAAGCCGAAUCGCUCAAUUGAGAC
ensembl:lncRNA